rnacentral:rRNA from 1 species
UACGAAGGGUGCGAGCGUUGUUCGGAAUUAUUGGGCGUAAAGCGCGUGUAGGCGGCCAACUAAGUCGGGUGUGAAAGCCCUCAGCUCAACUGAGGAAGUGCGCCCGAGACUGGAUGGCUUGAGUGCUGGGGAGGGUGGCGGAAUUCCCCAAGUAGAGGUGAAAUUCGUAGAGAUGGGGAGGAACACCAGUGGCGAAGGCGGCUUUCUGGUCUGUAACUGACGCUGAGGCGCGAAAGCGUGGGGAGCAAACAGG